CAUGCAGGCGGUUAUACAAGUAGGAUGUGAAAGCCUGGGGGCUCAACCUCAGAACUGCAUUCUAAACUGUGUGACUAGAGUAUUGCAGGGGGAGACGGAAUUUCAGGUGUAGCGGUGGAAUGCGUAGAUAUCUGAAAGAACACCAAAGGCGAAGGCAGUCUCCUGGGCAAAUACUGACGCUCAUAUGCGAAAGCGUGGGUAGCAAACA
rnacentral:rRNA from 1 species